rnacentral:ncRNA from 1 species
CUGAUGGAGGACCGAAGCAAUUCUGACGUGCAAAUCGAUUGUCAGAAUUGGGCAUAGGGGCGAAAGACCAAACGAACCAUCUAGUAGCUGGUUCCUUCCGAAGUUUCCCUCAGGGUAGCUGG